UAACCACGAUAAGGACAUUGUCUUAAUAAACCUUUGAAUAUAUCUCAUACUUUAAAUAGUGAUUCCCCAUCUGCCUGAGCAAAAUUUGUAAUGUAAUUUCUCAUAUA